rnacentral:lncRNA from 1 species
AUUUGGAAGGGGACUUGGCUGCAACUAAAACAAACAGAAGGCCAAGAAAGCUCAACCUCUGGGAAGCCUACUAAGGGGAAAAUCAAUUCAAAAUAUGCCCGGAGCCUCUGCUGCAGCUUCAGAGACCUCCUGGAAUUCAGUCCUCCAGACAAUUGUUUUGGGUCAAUUAUAAUGUUUACAGAUGAAGAACAUAAAGCUUGGGAAAGUUAAAUCAUUCAGGAUUUGGUUCGUGGGAACUUAAGUAAGUUUUGGAGUAAGAAUUUUAAAUUAGGUUUGUGUGACACCGCAGUUCAGAACCACCUCCAGCCACAGCAUAAAUGAGAGAUUGAAAUUUCCACUCAGGUAUUCAGCUCUGAAUGUCUGUAGAGAAGUUUGGCAUUUGCCCUGUAAAAGUGACUGCAAUGGACAGUCCACUCUGACUUAGUUAAUAUCUCCAGUUCUCCAUCCAAAACAAGCUGUGUAGGUAAGAACUGGGGAAUACCUUAGCAAACAAGAAAGAGAAAUAACGUACACCCAAAUUCCCUAAAUUUUGUUUCUGGUGUUGUCGACUUUUAAGCUGGGAUAAGAAUAAUAGAGCCUAAUUUUUUUCCACUCAUGAAGCCUGCGAGUAUGCUCCGUUGCACGGCAAAGAGGAAGUAAUGCUGUUUAUCAGCUGCCCUUUAAACAACGGGCGAUUCCGGAGUGUUAGCAGAGCAGCUCUAGUGUGAUAUGGAUAUAUGUGAAAGUGGAGAUAGGAAGCAGAAGGUGCUGAGCGGUUAGCAUGACCUGAGAGGUACUCAGCCCAUUCUUGCUUACUUUAAAACACCAGGCAGCAAUGAAUCAAGCAAUGUGGGAAGCCUCUAGAACAGCCCUUCUCAACCUAUAGGUCUCCACUCCACAGGGGUCAUCAGAUAUUUAUAUUAUGAUUUAUAACAGUAAAAUUACAGUUAUGAAGUAACAACGAAUAAUUUUAUGUUGGGGAGGGGGGCUCACCACAGUAUGAGGAACUGUAUUAGAGGGUCCUAGCAUUAGGAAGAUUGAGAACUACUCUUCCAGAAGCUAGGAAAAAAAAGUUAACUAAAUAAAUCUUUCCCCGAGCUCUGACA